rnacentral:rRNA from 1 species
UACGUAGGGGGCAAGCGUUGUCCGGAAUUAUUGGGCGUAAAGAGCGCGUAGGCGGUCCGAUAAGUCGGCUGUGAAAGUCCAGGGCUCAACCCUGGAAAGCCGGCCGAUACUGUCGGACUAGAGUCCGGAAGAGGCAAGUGGAAUUCCCGGUGUAGCGGUGAAAUGCGCAGAUAUCGGGAGGAACACCGGUGGCGAAGGCGGUUCUCUGGGCCUUACCUGACGCUGAGGAGCGAAAGCGUGGGGAGCGAACAGG